AGUCCCAGCUACUCGGGAGGCUGAGGCAGGAGAAUGGCGGGAACCCAGGAGGCGGAGCUUGCAGUGAGCCGAAAUCGCGCCACUCACUCCAGCCUGGGCGGCAGAGGGGAGACUCCGCCUCAAAAAAAAAAAAAAAAAAAAAAAAAAAAAAAAAAGCAAAAAACGCAGCAUCAAGGCGGGGCGGACUGAAAGGAGAGCAGUGCAGGAAGAAGCACCCGGGGCGCUGCCUGGGGCUCGGAAGCCUCCAAGGGGCCACGCCCAGCCUGGAAUAACCGACUGUGGAGACAAUGGAUGAAUGACAGAAAUGAAACAACUCAGGGAAAACCCAGCGGUGCGGGAGGCUGCGGUGGGACCCUGGCGAGCCGGACCCGGCUGCUGCUGGACAAUGCACUUGCCUUCUCUUCCUGGAGAUUGACACUCGUGAUUGUUUUCACCGUGCACUCCAAGUGCUGUCUCCUCCAGGAGAGACCACGAACAGCGAAGACUCUUAAUCGCCUACUACAUGACCUUCUUCUCAUGGAAGAAUCAACCAACCCUUCCUCUACAGUGAAUGAGGGACCUGUGCUCUUCACCCACUCACUGUGCUAUUUCUCUUUGAAAUCAGUCAAUCUUGUGGUUCUUUCCCUCUAUUUUAUAAUUUUUUGACUAACUUUUCAAGGACUAUAAACAGCUUUUUUUUUUUUUUUUUUAGACUGAGUCUCGCUCUGUCUCCCAGGCUGGUGUGCAGUGGCCGGAUCUCAGCUCACUGCAAGCUCCGCCUCCCGGGUUCCCGCCAUUCUCCUGCCUCAGCCUCCCGAGUAGCUGGGACUACAGGUGCCGCCACCACGCCCGGCUAAGUUUUUGUAUUUUUAGUAGAGACGGGGUUUCACCGUGUUAGCCAGGAUGGUCUCUAUCUCCUGAUCUCGUGAUCCGCCUGUCUCGGCCUCCCAAAGUGCUGGAAUUAUAGGCGUGAGCCACCACGCCCAGUACUAUAAACAGUUUUAAUGCCUCUACCAUCUUGGGUAAAGCUUACCUAGCGUGAGCCCUACACGCUUAUGUACUUACAUUUACCUUCCCCACUUCAUGGAGUCCACAUCCACCACCGGACUUACCUGAAACCACACUGAUCACUCUUCAGUUCUUACAGCUCCCCUGAAAUGCUCUGGGGAGAAGAAAAUAAUGUCUUUCUCACCUCAAAACUCACACACUCUUUUUUUUAACAUCUUCCUGUCGCCAUUGACCUCAGAUUCCCUGGUACUUGGUCCACCACAUGGCUCCGUGAGUCCCUGAUUCUCACGACCAUGCGGUACACAGGGCGAGUGGCCUCUCCUGAAUGAACGCCUUAGAUGCCAACCCCUGUCAAGUUCAGCACGGCAAAGACACAGUGGGGACAGGGGCAUUGAGGUGGAGCUGAGGCUUCCCUGAUGGGAUAUUUUAAACCUGUUCAUUGCAAGACCUCUUCUGUCUAUGCUGUCACAAAAGGAAUAAAUAAGAUGUGUUUAUAAGUUUCA
rnacentral:lncRNA from 1 species